UACGGGGGGGGCAAGCGUUGUUCGGAAUUACUGGGCGUAAAGGGCGCGUAGGCGGCUCGCUAAGUCGGAUGUGAAAACUCUGGGCUCAACCCAGAGCCUGCAUUCGAAACUGACGAGCUGGAGUUCUGGAGGGGAAAGCGGAAUUCCUGGUGUAGCGGUGAAAUGCGUAGAUAUCAGGAGGAACACCGGUGGCGAAGGCGGCUUUCUGGACAGAAACUGACGCUGAUGCGCGAAAGCUAGGGGAGCAAACAGG
rnacentral:ncRNA from 2 species